GUGGGGAAUCUUGCGCAAUGGGCGAAAGCCUGACGCAGCAACGCCGCGUGGGGGAAGAAGGCCUUCGGGUUGUAAACCUCUGUCAGGAGGGACGAAGCCACCUGCGUUAAUAGCGUAAGGGGUGACGGUACCUCCAAAGGAAGCCCCGGCUAACUACGUGCCAGCAGCCGCGGUAAUACGUAGGGGGCGAGCGUUGUCCGGAUUUAUUGGGCGUAAAGAGCGUGUAGGCGGCCUUUCAAGUCCGAUGUGAAAUCUCACGGCUCAACCGUGAACCUGCAUUGGAAACUGUAAGGCUAGAGUCUGGAUGAGGAGAAUGGAAUUCCUGGUGUAGCGGUGAAAUGCGCAGAUAUCAGGAGGAACACCGGUGGCGAAGGCGGUUCUCUGGGACAGUACUGACGCUGAGACGCGAAAGCGUGGGGAGCAAACAGGAUUAGAAACCCUAGUAGUCC
rnacentral:rRNA from 1 species